rnacentral:siRNA from 1 species
CCUUGAGGAUAUGAUUUGCGC